AAUUACAAAAACAUUUAUUAGUAUUUUAAAAAAAACCUCAUGUAAAAAAUUAUUUCUUAUCUUUGCAAAUGAAUUAAAGAAUCGGCCUGCGCUUUUCCCUAUAAUACUCGGUACAAGAAAGAAAAUAUAUAAAAGACGACUCAUUAAAUUUAUCAUAAUAGAGUGCUUAAUUGUAAGUAAUAAUUUAACUUGAACCAUAUGCUUUAGGAGCUCCUUUUGUUCAUUAAAACACUGAUCAAACCCCGGCUCUACUAAGAUGUCUAGUGUUUUCAAGGGUUCAGGUGCGCAAUUCACCAGCAUCUUAACUGAAAGACAAAAUUUUUCUAAAUAAAUGUAUUAGGAAAAAACGAUAAAAAGGAUCCUUCCAGCAGUGGGAAAAGUUUUCCAAAUAUUAACCGGAGAAGCGCAAAAAAAAGGGAUUCGAAUCGAAAUCUGAAUAUCAUAAAAAAAAAAAAAAUCUUUUUCAACGAAUCAAAUAUAUAGAAUCUAGUAUAUUUGUAGUGAGAAAUAAAGACCCUAACUGUUUGUUUAUCCCUUAAUAUGUUUGUUUACAUUCCUUAGCAUCUGCUUUGUUUACAUCCGACGUAAUAUCACGACGUAUUGACACAUGUUACUUGGUGAUAUCAUCUAAAAAAGUGCGAACGAAGCCUGAUGAUAUUA